rnacentral:rRNA from 1 species
AGAGUUUGAUCCUGGCUCAGAACGAACGCUGGCGGCAGGCUUAACACAUGCAAGUCGAACGCCCCGCAAGGGGAGUGGCAGACGGGUGAGUAACGCGUGGGAAUCUACCCAGUUCUACGGAAUAACACAGGGAAACUUGUGCUAAUACCGUAUAAGCCCUACGGGGGAAAGAUUUAUCGGGACUGGAUGAGCCCGCGUUGGAUUAGCUAGUUGGUGGGGUAAUGGCCUACCAAGGCGACGAUCCAUAGCUGGUCUGAGAGGAUGAUCAGCCACACUGGGACUGAGACACGGCCCAGACUCCUACGGGAGGCAGCAGUGGGGAAUAUUGGACAAUGGGCGAAAGCCUGAUCCAGCCAUGCCGCGUGAGUGAUGAAGGCCUUAGGGUUGUAAAGCUCUUUCAGUGGGGAAG